rnacentral:rRNA from 1 species
AUACGUAGGGUGCAAGCGUUAAUCGGAAUUACUGGGCGUAAAGCGUGCGCAGGCGGUUUUGUAAGAUAGAGGUGAAAUCCCCGGGCUCAACCUGGGAACUGCCUUUGUGACUGCAAGGCUAGAGUACGGCAGAGGGGGGUGGAAUUCCGCGUGUAGCAGUGAAAUGCGUAGAUAUGCGGAGGAACACCGAUGGCGAAGGCAAUCCCCGGGGCAGGUAGUGACGCUCAUGCACGAAAGCGUGGGGAGCAAACAGGAUUAGAUACCCUGGUAGUCCACGCCCUAAACGAUGUCAACUGGUUGUUGGGUCUUCAUUGACUCAGUAACGAAGCUAACGCAUGAAGUUGACCGCCUGGGGAGUACGGCCGCAAGGUUGGAACUCAAAUGAAUUGACGGGG